AGAAGGAAAGAGAGAUAAAGGAGGGUGAAGAGGAAGGAAUGAGAAAGGGAGGAAUAAGUGGAGGAGCAGGCAAGCCACAAUAGGUACUCUCACUCCACUUCCGAGUGGAGGUUCCUUGUGUGUGCGCGCGUGGCGUCGCGGUUAGUGAAGUGAUGCUGUGCGUUAGUUUAUCCUAUUGAGUGCGUCUUCCUCGCGUUGGAUUUGGUGAUUACCCGUAUCACAGGUCACACCGUGGGACUGUCACCGCUGGAGCAACCCUUCGGAAUAAAGUAAAGUACGUUAAUUACGGUUUGCUAGGCGUUAGGUGUUAGGCAUAGGGCGAUAGGCGGCGCGGCUAACCAUUCUCUUCCAGGUACAUGUUAAUUAUCUAGUCUUCCCCAGUAAUGCCUUGGUUAGCGCACCGUGGCGGCGAUCCAGGAGCAUCGUGCUGGUGGUGGUGGUGGUGGUGGCGUGGCUGGCUGGCUGUCUGUCUGUCUGUCUGUGGCGGGCGUGCACGUGCUAUCAUAUGGUAUGUGAAUGAUUGAGUUUCGUAGGGUUAGUGAAAUGAUGGCCCUUGACAUUGAUUCCUAAUGCUUGUGGCUUUAUUUAACUGUUUUCGGUGAGCAGUGACUGUGCGGCAGCAGGGGUGAGGAAGGGAGACGUGAGGGGCGGCCAGGUGGUGGUGGACAGUGACCGGCGCCACAGUGACAAGCCUACACGAACAUAGUGACAAUAGCCAUGAUAACAACGAAAAGAACAGCGUGUGUGUAGCCUCGGUAAACACGGACACAAGAUGGGUUAGGAUGUGUGUGUGUGUGGCUGGGGGUGAGUGGGUACCUACUGCUGGUGACGGCAGCAGCCAAGACCAGCCACAGUCUUCACCAGCAGCAAACGCUCAGGCGUGUAGAUGGGAGCAGGAGAAGAAAGAACAAAGGAAGAGGACGAAGAAGAAAG